CGUCGGGCGAGAAAGCUGGAGGCUGAUGUACCAAGGAAGGGAAGCAAAGAGUUAAAGCAGCAAAAUUUGGAAGGCGGUAAAAUAGCAUUGGUGUCACGUUCCAGAUAAUCUUUUCUUGUGGACGGAGGGAAAACAGCCGCUAUGCAACUGGCUCAGUCCCCAGUGGUCUUCAAGGAGGAAGCCCUGUAUUCCCACGAGGGAGAAUCAUCUGUGCAGGAUCCCAGCCAAACAGCUCUGCACAGGGACGUCAAGCUGGAGGACUGUGAGAGAGUGGCCC